CGGAGGCAGCAGUGAGGAAUAUUGGACAAUGGGCGCAAGCCUGAUCCAGCCAUGCCGCGUGCAGGAAGACGGUCCUAUGGAUUGUAAACUGCUUUUAUACAGGAAGAAACACCUCUACGUGUAGAGACUUGACGGUACUGUAUGAAUAAGCAUCGGCUAACUCCGUGCCAGCAGCCGCGGUAAUACGGAGGAUGCAAGCGUUAUCCGGAAUCAUUGGGUUUAAAGGGUCCGUAGGCGGCCAAAUAAGUCAGUGGUGAAAGCCCAUCGCUCAACGAUGGAACGGCCAUUGAUACUGUUUGGCUUGAAUUAUUGGGAAGUAACUAGAAUAUGUAGUGUAGCGGUGAAAUGCUUAGAGAUUACAUGGAAUACCAAUUGCGAAGGCAGGUUACUACUAAUAUAUUGACGCUGAUGGACGAAAGCGUGGGGAGCGAACAGGAUUAGAUACCCCUGUAGUCC
rnacentral:rRNA from 1 species